rnacentral:rRNA from 1 species
CCGGGUCGGACGGACCGUGGUACUCAAGGGAGGGGCUCAUCGUCCUAUCAGUCUUGUUGGUGGGGUAACGGCCUACCAAGGCUACGACGGGUAGCUGGUCUGAGAGGAUGAUCAGCCACACUGGCACUGAGAUACGGGCCAGACUCCUACGGGAGGCAGCAGUGAGGAAUAUUGCGCAAUGGGCGAAAGCCUGACGCAGCGACGCCGCGUGGGAGAUGAAGGUUUUCGGAUUGUAAACCCCUUUCAUGAGGAAAGAUAAAGUGGGUAACCACUUAGACGGUACCUCAAGAAGAAGCCACGGCUAACUUCGUG